rnacentral:misc_RNA from 1 species
GAUGAAGAACGUAGUGAAAUGCGAUAAGUAAUGUGAAUUGCAGAAUUCAGUGAAUCAUCGAAUCUUUGAACGCACCUUGCACCCUUUGGUAUUCCGAAGGGUAUGCUCGUUUGAGUGUCAUUGUACUCUCACACUUCUAAUUCCUUUCGGGAUUGGGAGCGGUGGACUUGGGUGUUGCUGCUUUAGUUGUGGCUCACCUCAAAUAAGUUAGUGCAACUCUUGGUUGGACAUAGUACGGCGUGAUAAGUGUCUUCGCCGGCGCCUCUGUAAGGAGGGUGGCCGAUCGGGAGCUCUGUGCUUCAAACCGUCUUCGGACAAUCUUUGACAACUUGACCUCAAAUCGAGUAGGACUACCCGCUGAACUUAAGCAUAUCAAAAAGCGGAGGA